UUUCGAGCGUGCUCGUGGUAAGUAGCGACUGUGUGACAGGGGAAGUAGGUAUGGCAACUGGUAUUGUCAAAUGGUUCAACGACGCAAAGGGCUUCGGUUUCAUCACUCCCGACGAGGGCGGUGAAGACCUGUUCGCGCACUUCUCGGCGAUCAACAUGCAGGGUUUCAAGACCCUGAAGGAAGGCCAGAAGGUGAGCUUCGAAGUCGUCCAAGGACCGAAGGGCAAGCAAGCUUCGAAUAUCCAGGCCGCCUGAGGGCAACGGAUUUCGGACGAAGAAACCCGGCGAGAUGCCGGGUUUCUUUU
rnacentral:misc_RNA from 1 species